CAGGGAAGCUGGAGAAAUAGUGUUUGUAGACGCUACAGGAUGUGUUGAUCAACUCAAUACAUCACUUAUCCCAUUUCUUUGUGCUGGACCAACAGGAGCUGCUCCUCUUGCUCUACUGUUUACAUCAUCCAUAGAUGAAGGAACACUAAAGAAAGGUUUUGAUAUGGUGAAAUGUGCUCUUGGAGACGGUGCGUUUUAUGGGAGGCAGUCACCGCAAACCUUCAUGACUGACAACUGUACUGCAAUGAAGAAAGCCUUAGCAGAAGCCUGGCCUGCGGCUCGACAGUUUUUAUGUAUUUUUCACCUACUUCAACAAGUGUGGCGAUGGCUACUUGACCUCAAGCAUGGCAUAAAGAAAGAAGACCGCCAAGUGCUGAUGGGUGCAGUGAAGUGCCUCGUUUAUGCAUCAUCAAAAGAAGAUUUCUUCACAGUUUGGCAACAAUUCCAGGCUAACCCUCUUUCACAGAAAUAUGCAAACUUCAGCAGUUACCUCAGUUCACUAAUGGAACGGAAGGAGGAGUGGGGCAUUACGUUCAGGGGUGGCGCCAUGUUGCGAGGUCAUCAUACGAACAAUUUCAGCGAGGCCACCAUGUGCAUCAUUAAGGAAGUUGUUUUGAAUAGGUAAGUAUCUAACCCUCAAUAUCCUUUUUGUGUGCACCACUACAACUGGAGCUGGCCGAGGAAAGAUUCGGUGCCAGCCAUCUUCAGUUGCAAGAAGAGGGCCAGGAAGACCGAAAGGAGCAGCUCCCCUUGGCAAAGGGCGCCGUCCUAACACAGUAGCGACAGGUAAAGCAAAGCGCCCACGAAAUCUCGCAGAAAACAUCGCAGCCAAUGUACCCAAUGCUAAGUCACAUGGCAGUGGCCACUAAUGUAUGUAUUUAUCUACAGUAAUUGCAUGCUUAAUAAAUAUGGAGUUUUUCUCUUUUAUAAUUAUUUCCAAAACAUAAUGAUCUGCAUGUUUACAGAACAUUCAUGUAACCAGUAUGGACAACAAAGUGUUGAAAGU